rnacentral:rRNA from 1 species
UUCACUUCCGAGUCUAUGUUUUCAUAUACCCUUUAUAAUUGAAGUCGAUGAAUGUAUUAGGCUUUGGCCAAUAAAACAAUACAACUUUCAACAAUGGAUCUCUUGGUUCUCGCAUCGAUGAAGAACGCAGCGAAUUGCGAUAUGUAAUGUGAAUUGCAGAAUUCAGUGAAUCAUCGAAUCUUUGAACGCACCUUGCGCCCUUUGGUAUUCCGAAGGGCAUGCCUGUUUGAGUGUCAUUAAAUUCUCAACUUCAACACUUUUUUGUAUUGAAGCUUGGAUGUUGGAGGGUCUUGCGGGCAUAUAUUAAUGUCAGCUCCUCUUAAAUGCAUUAGCAGAACCUGUGUUCGGCUCUGGUUUGAUAAUCCUAUCUAUGCCAUUGCUGAAAUGUCAUUGUUCAGCUUCUAAUGGUCCAUUGGACUGUCUCUUCAGAGGCAUAUAUUUUGACUUGACCUCA